GAUGAACGCUGGCGGCGUGCCUAAUACAUGCAAGUCGAGCGAACAGACGAGGAGCUUGCUCCUCUGACGUUAGCGGCGGACGGGUGAGUAACACGUGGAUAACCUACCUAUAAGACUGGGAUAACUUCGGGAAACCGGAGCUAAUACCGGAUAAUAUAUUGAACCGCAUGGUUCAAUAGUGAAAGACGGUUUUGCUGUCACUUAUAGAUGGAUCCGCGCCGCAUUAGCUAGUUGGUAAGGUAACGGCUUACCAAGGCAACGAUGCGUAGCCGACCUGAGAGGGUGAUCGGCCACACUGGAACUGAGACACGGUCCAGACUCCUACGGGAGGCAGCAGUAGGGAAUCUUCCGCAAUGGGCGAAAGCCUGGCGGAGCAACGCCGCGUGAGUGAUGAAGGUCUUCGGAUCGUAAAACUCUGUUAUUAGGGAAGAACAAAUGUGUAAGUAACUAUACACGUCUUGACGGUACCUAAUCAGAAAGCCACGGCUAACUACGUG
rnacentral:rRNA from 1 species